UUCACCAUGAAAGAGUCAAGGCAUCUCCACUGAGUGCAGAAAUAAAUCAACUGCACAGCUGUUGGAAAAACAUAUGUUCUGGACAGGAAGAAAAAUUUGUAGCUAUGUCACAAUCAAAUCCCAUGGGCUAAUUAGGAAGUGAUAAAAGGAGAAAGAGAGGAAUAGGUAAGACUUGUGUACAACAAGUCCAGCCUUGAACUUCUGUUGUAUAAUCUCUUGUUUUACACUAUUAUAUUUUCCACUUCAUUUUGU
rnacentral:lncRNA from 12 species